rnacentral:rRNA from 1 species
UUAGAUUUUAUUUAUUAAUGAUUGUUUAUUUAUUAUUUAUUUUAUUAUAAAUAAUUAUAUAUUUAUAGGUUUGAGUAUUUUAUAUAGAAUUAAUAAUUUUUAUAAUAGUUGAUUAGUAUUGUAAAAGAAAAUUUAAAUAUUUUGAAAAAUUAUUAUUAAAAAAGAAAAUUUAAUUUAUUGUACCUUUUGUAUCAGGGUUUUUUAAAUAAUAAAUAAUUAUAUUUAUUUUUUUCGAUUUUAAAAGAUUUAAUAAAUUAUAUUAGUUAAUGUGGUAUAAUUAUUAAUAAUAAUUUAUUAGAAAUAAAAUGUUAGUCGUUUUUAAAGGUAUCUAAUUAUUUAAGAAAUAAAUUUAAUUUAAUUUUUUUAAAUAUUUUAUAUUAAUUUAUUAAUAUAAAUUUUUAUUAAAAUAAUAAUUUAUGGGAUAAGCUAUAAAUUAAAUAUUUAUAAAUAAUUAAAUUAAUUAAUAUAUUUAUGUUUAGAAUUAGCAAUUAUUUAUAAGUAUGUUAUAAUAUAUUUUAUUUAUAUGAUUAUUUAUUUUUAUUUUAAUUUUUUAUUAAAUUAUUUAUUUUAAUUUUUUUUAUAAAUUAAUAAUGAUAGAAUUAGUAUAUAAAUAAUUAUAAUUAAGUAUAUAUGAUUAAUAUAUUUUUAUAAAGAAUUCGGCAAAAUUUAAUAUUCGCCUGUUUAGCAAAAACAUGUCUUUUAGAAUUUAAUUUAAAGUCUAACCUGCCCACUGAUUUAUUUAAUGGCCGCAGUAUUUUAACUGUGCAAAGGUAGCAUAAUCAUUAGUCUUUUAAUUAAGGGCUGGAAUGAAUGGUUGAACGAAAUAUUAACUGUUUCAUAAAAAUUAUAUGGAAUUUUAUUUUUUAGUUAAAAAGCUAAAAUAAGUUUAAAAGACGAGAAGACCCUAUAGAUCUUUAUAUUUUAAAUAUAUUUUUUAUUAAGUGAGAUUUAAAUAUUAUAUUUAUGAAUAUUUUAUUGGGGUGAUAGUAAAAUUUAAUUAACUUUUAUAUUUAUAAUAAACAUUAAUUUAUGAAUAAAUGAUCUAUUUUUAUUGAUUAAUAAAUUAAGUUACCUUAGGGAUAACAGCGUAAUUUUUUUAGAGAGUUCAUAUCGAUAAAAAAUAUUGCGACCUCGAUGUUGGAUUAAGAUAUUAGUUUAGGAGCAGAAAUUUAAAUAAUUGGUCUGUUCGACCAUUAAAAUCUUACAUGAUCUGAGUUCAAACCGGCGUAAGCCAGGUUGGUUUCUAUCUUUAGAUAAAGGAAAUAUUUUAGUACGAAAGGACCAUAUAUUUAAUUUAUAAUUUUAUUUAUAGAAUUUUAUUAAUUU